ensembl:lncRNA
CAGGAAGUGUCAACAACAUCAUAUUCAUGGGCAGGAAGUGUCAACAACAUCAUAUUCAUGGGCAGGAAGUGUCAACAACAUCAUAUUCAUAGGCAGGAAGUGUCAACAACAUCAUAUUCAUGGGCAGGAAGUGUCAACAACAUCAUAUUCAUGCAUAAAAAAACAAAUAAUGAAAGAAAAGCUUUGCAAACUUGAAUUUUGUAACGAUAGUGUGGAAAAAUGAUUGUUAACGAUCAAUAAUGACAAACCUCCUGGCAUUGACAACUUAGAUGGAAAGCUACUGAGGGUGGUAGCUGACUCUAUAGUCACUCCAAUCUGUCAUAUCUUUAAUCUGAGUCUAGAGGAAAGUGUUUGUCCUCAGGUCUGGAGGGAAGCCAAAGUCAUUCUGCUACCCAAGAGUGGUAAAGAGGCUUUUACUGGUUCUAACAGCAGACCAAUCAGCUUGCUGCCAGCUCUGAACAUACUGUUGGAAAAAAUGGUGUUUGACCAAAUACAAUGCUAUUCUCUGUGAACAAAUUAACAACAGACUUUCGGCAUGCUUAUAGAGAAGGGUACUCAACAUGUACUGCACUGACACAAAUGACUGAUGAUUGGUUGAAAUAAAUUGAAAAUAAGAAGAUUAUGAGAGCUGCACUAUAGAUUUCAGUGCUACCUUUGGUAUUAUUGACCGUAACCUGUUCGUGCCGUGGGGGAGAUCUUCGUGGGCUAUACUCGGCCUUGUCUCGGGAUAGGCAAAGUGGGUCUCCUGUCUUAUCCGGUUUCCUGUGUGAAUUUAAGUACUAGGUUUCUUUCUAGGUUCCUGCCUUUCUAGGGAGGUUUUCCUAGCCAUCAUGCUUCUACACCUGCAUUUUAGGCUGGGUUUCUGUACAGCACUUUGUGAUAUCAGCUGAUGUAAAAGAGCUUUAUACCGUUCUACCGUUCAAAAGUUUGGGGUCACUUAGAAAUGUCCUUGUUUUUGAAAUAAAAGCACAUUUUUUGUCCAUUACAAUCAUGUCAAAUUGAUCAGAAAUACAGUGUAGACAUUGUUAAUGUUGUAAAUGACUAUUGUAGCUGGAAACGGCAGAUUUUUUAUGGAAUAUCUACAUAGGCGUACAGAGGUCCAUUAUCAGCAACCUUCAAUCCUGUGUUCCAAUGGCACGUUGUGUUAGCUAAUCCAAGUUGAUCAUUUUAAAAGGCUAAUUGAUCAUUAGAAAACCCUUUUACAAUUAUGUUAGCACAGCUGAAAACUGUUGUUCUGAUUAAAGAAGCAAUAAAACUGGCCUUCUUUAGACUAGUUGAGUAUCUGGAGCAACAACAUUUAUGGGUUUGAUUACAGGCUCAAAACAUCCAGAAAAAAAAACCUUUCUUCUGAAACUCAUCAGUCUAUUCUUGUUCUGAGAAAGGAAGUCUAUUCCAUGCGAGAAAUUGUCAAGAAACUGAAGAUCUCGUACAAAGCUGUGUACUACUCCCUUCACAGAACAGAGCAAACUGGCCCUAACCAGAAUAGAAAGAGGAGUGGGAGGCCCCGGUGCACAACUGAGCAAAAGGACAAGUACAUUAUAGUGUCUAGUUUGAGAAACAGACACCUCACAAGUCCUCAACUGGCAGCUUCAUUAAAUAGUACCCGCAAAACACCAGUCUCAACGUCAAUGGGAUGCUGGCCUUCUAGGCAGAGAUCCUCUGUCCAGUGUCUGUGUUCUUUUGCCCAUCUUAAUCUUUUAUUUUUAUUGGCCAGUCUGAGAUAUGGCUUUUUCUUUGCAACUCUGCCUAGAAGGCCAGCAUCCCGGAGUCGCCUCUUCACUGUUGACGUUGAGACUGGUGUUUUGUGGGUACAAUUUUUUUUUUUAUAAAGGUGCCUGUUGAAUUUUUUUCUGCCUAAACGAGUCUGACCACUAAUCAACGACCACUAUGAUGACACACCAAAUGUGUUUGAUGGAUCGCAGGAAAAGAGCAGAAAUAGGCUUUUGUAAGCUACAGUCCAAGCUAUGUCUUCCAAUGGUGCGACUGCAGUCGGCAUCAAAACAUCAUCCAAUUUCAAUGACUGCUUAGAUGUAAGGACGACAGCAGCGGUGUAGCUUACGGAUACGGAUACUAUCCUACAGUUUUUUGUGUCACCUCUAUUAGACUCCCAUUAGAAUCCUAUUGGACUCCGAUCAGAAUCCUAUCGGAAUCCCAUUAGAAUCCUAUUGGACUCCUAUCAGAAUCCCAUUAGAAUCCUAUUGGACUCCUUCCUAUCAGAAUCCUAUUAUAAUCCUAUUGGACUCCUUCCUAUCAGAAUCCUAUUAUAAUCCUAUUGGACUCCUAUUAGAAUCCUAUUGGACUCCUAUCAGAAUCCUAGUAGAAUCCUAUUGGACUCCGAUCAAAAUCCUAUUAGAAUCCUAUUGGACUCCUAUUAGCAUCCUAUUGGACUCCUAUUAGAAUCCUAUUAGACUCAUAUUAGAAUCCUAUUAGAAUCCUAUUGGACUCCUGUCAGAAUCCCAUUAGAAUCCUAUUGGACUGCUAUUGGACUCCUAUUAGGUCAGGUGUAUAUUAGUACUGGUCUCAGGUCAUUAAUACAAAUAAUACAAUUAAUAAGUUCGGGAGUAAAAAUGUGCCUAACAAGUCACAUAAUAAGUUGCAUGGACUCAAUAAUAGUGUUUAACUCCAUCUAUCUCUCCUGUUAUAGUAAAUCAGGCAUCUAUCUCUCCUGUUAUAGUAAAUCAGGCAUCUAUCUCUCCUGUUAUAGCAAAUCAGGCAUCUAUCUCUCCUGUUAUAGUAAAUCAGGCAUCCAGCACCCCUGUUAUAGUAAAUCAGGCAUCUAUCUCUCCUGUUAUAGUAAAUCAGGCAUCUAUCUCUCCUGUUAUAGUAAAUCAGGCAUCUAUCUCUCCUGUUAUAAUAAAUCAGGCAUCCAGCACCCCUGUUAUAGUAAAUCAGGCAUCUAUCUCUCCUGUUAUAGUAAAUCAGGCAUCUAUCUCUCCUGUUAUAAUAAAUCAGGCAUCCAGCACCCCUGUUAUAGUAAAUCAGGCAUCUAUCUCUCCUGUUAUAGUAAAUCAGGCAUCUAUCUCUCCUGGUAUAGUAAAUCAGGCAUCUAUCUCUCCUGUUGUAGUAAAUCGGGCAUCCAGCACCCCUGUUACAGUAAAUAAGGCAUCCACACCCCUGUUAUAGUAAAUAAGGCAUCCACACCCCUGUUAUAGUAAAUAAGGCAUCCACACCCCUGUUAUAGUAAAUAAGGCAUCCACACCCCUGUUAUAGUAAAUAAGGCAUCCACACCCCUGUUAUAGUAAAUAAGGCAUCCACACCCCUGUUAUAGUAAAUAAGGCAUCCACACUCCUGUUAUAGUAAAUAAGGCAUCCACACUCCUGUUAUAGUAAAUAAGGCAUCCACACCCCUGUUAUAGUAAAUAAGGCAUCCACACCCCUGUUAUAGUAAAUCUGCCUUUAGAAGAUCAGUCCUGUUGAAAAUAGGAUUAAGAGGAAGGCAGGCAGGAAGGCACACCAGGCCAGCCAACAUGCCAGGCCAGCCAACAUGCCAGGCCAGCCAACAUGCCAGGCCAGCCGACACAGACAAACGAUUUUGACAGCCAAUGUCUAUGAGCUCUUGGCAUGGAGUAAUACUAGGAAUUAGGCUUACUACCAGGGGAUUCUUCGCUCUCACAGCAUGGGAUAAUUAUUAAAAAUAUUCUUUAUUUAACUCGGCUAGUCAGUUAAGAACAAAUUCUUAUUCACAAUGACGUCCCAACCGGGGAACAGUGGGUUAACUGCCUUGUUCAGGGGAACAGUGGGUUAACUGCCUUGUUCAGGGGAACAGUGGGUUAACUGCCUUGUUCAGGGGAACAGUGGGUUAACUGCCUUGUUCAGGGGAACAGUGGGUUAACUGCCUUGUUCAGGGGAACAGUGGGUUAACUGCCUUGUUUAGGGGAACAGUGGGUUAACUGCCUUGUUCAGGGGAACAGUGGGUUAACUGCCUUGUUUAGGG